UUAAGCAUAUCAAUAAGCGGAGGAAAAGAAACUAACAAGGAUUCCCCUAGUAACUGCGAGUGAAGCGGGAAAAGCUCAAAUUUAAAAUCUGGUGGUCUUUGGCCAUCCGAGUUGUAAUUUAGAGAAGCGUCUUCCGCGCUGGACCGUGCAUAAGUCUCCUGGAAUGGAGCGUCAUAGAGGGUGAGAAUCCCGUCUUUGGCACGGACCCCCAGGGCUUCUGUGAGGCGCUCUCGAAGAGUCGAGUUGUUUGGGAAUGCAGCUCAAAAUGGGUGGUGAACUCCAUCUAAAGCUAAAUAUUGGCGAGAGACCGAUAGCGAACAAGUACCGUGAGGGAAAGAUGAAAAGCACUUUGGAAAGAGAGUGAAACAGUACGUGAAAUUGUUGAAAGGGAAACGCUUAAAGUCAGUCGCGUCGACCGAGACUCAGCCUCGCCUUGGCUUGGCGUACUUCUCGGCUGACGGGUCAGCAUCAAUUUUGAUUCUUGGAUAAUGGCGGGAGAAAGGUGGCACCUUUAUAGGUGUGUUAUAGUCUCCCGUCGCAUGCAAGGGUUGGGAUUGAGGAACUCAGCACGCACCUCUUGGUGUCGGGGCCUCGGCUCACGUUACGUGCUUAGGAUGUUGGCGUAAUGGCUUUAAACGACCCGUCU
rnacentral:rRNA from 1 species